AUCAGGCCUAACACAUGCAAGUCGAGGGGUAGCAGGGUAGCAAUACCGCUGACGACCGGCGCACGGGUGAGUAACACGUAUGCAACCUGCCUCAUACUUGGGGACAGCCUUCCGAAAGGGAGAUUAAUACCCAAUGACACAGGGAUACCGCAUGGUAAUAUUUGUUAAAGAUUUAUCGGUAUGGGAUGGGCAUGCGGUGGAUUAGAUAGUUGGGAGGGUAACGGCCUGCCAAGUCGGCGAUCCAUAGGGGAACUGAGAGGUUUAUCCCCCACACUGGUACUGAGACAGGGACCAGACUCCUACGGGAGGCAGCAGUGAGGAAUAUUGGUCAAUGGGCGGGAGCCUGAACCAGCCAAGUCGCGUGAAGGAAGAAGGUAUUAUGUAUUGUAAACUUCUUUUAUGGGGGGAUAAAAAGAGCCACGCGUGGUUUUUUGCAGGUACCCCAUGAAUAAGCAUCGGCUAACUCCGUGCCAGCAGCCGCGGUAAUACGGAGGAUGCGAGCGUUAUCCGGAUUUAUUGGGUUUAAAGGGUGCGUAGGUUGUCUGUCAAGUCAGCGGUGAAAUUCCGGCGCUUAACGUCGGCACUGCCGUUGAAACUGACAGACUUGAGUGUAAACGAGGCAGGCGGAAUUCGUAGUGUAGCGGUGAAAUGCAUAGAUAUUACGAAGAACCCCGAUAGCGCAGGCAGCUUGCCAGGCUACAACUGACACUGAAGCACGAAAGUGUGGGUAUCAAAC
rnacentral:rRNA from 1 species